AGUGAACGCUGGCGGUAGGCCUAACACAUGCAAGUCGAACGGCAGCACAGUAAGAGCUUGCUCUUACGGGUGGCGAGUGGCGGACGGGUGAGGAAUACAUCGGAAUCUACUUUUUCGUGGGGGAUAACGUAGGGAAACUUACGCUAAUACCGCAUACGACCUACGGGUGAAAGCAGGGGAUCUUCGGACCUUGCGCGAUUGAAUGAGCCGAUGUCGGAUUAGCUAGUUGGCGGGGUAAAGGCCCACCAAGGCGACGAUCCGUAGCUGGUCUGAGAGGAUGAUCAGCCAAACGGGAACUGGAACACGGCCCAGACUCCUAGGGGAGGCAGAAGUGGGGAAUAUUGGAAAAGGGGCGCAAGCCUGAUCCAGCCAUACCGGGUGGGUGAAGAAGGCCUUCGGGUUGUAAAGCCCUUUUGUUGGGAAAAAAAAGCAGCAGGUUAAUACCCCGCUGUUCGGACGGUACCCAAAAAAAAAGCACCGGCAAACUUCGU
rnacentral:rRNA from 1 species